AUGCUCGCUUCGACAGCACAUAUACUAAAAUUGGAAUGAUACAGAGAAGAUUAGCAUGGCCCCUGUGCAAGGAUGACAUGCAAAUUCGUGAAGCGUUCCAUAAAAAA
ensembl:snRNA U6 U6 spliceosomal RNA